GUGUAUUAGGACUAGAUGAUGAUGUGUAUUAGGAUUAGAUUAUAAUGUGUAUUAGGACUAGAUGAUGAGGUGUAUUGGGACUAGAUGAUUAGGUGUAUUAGGAUUAGAUGAUAAGGUCUAUUAGGACUACAUGAUGAGGUGUAUUAAGACUAGAUGAUGAGGUGUAUUAGGACUACAUUAUGAGGUGCAUUAGGACUACAUGAUGAGGUGUAUUAGGACUACAUGAUGGGGUGUAUUAGGACUAGAUGAUGAGUUGUAUUACGACUAGAUGAUGAGGUGUGUUAGGACUACAUGAUAAAGUGUAUUAGUAUUAAAUUAUGAGGUGUAUUAGGACUAGAUAUUGAGGUGUAUUCG
ensembl:lncRNA